GACGAAGGAUGCAAGCGUUAUCCGGAUUCAUUGGGUUUAAAGGGAGCGUAGGUGGCCUUAUAAGUCAGUGGUGAAAUCUCUGGGCUUAACCCAGAAAUUGCCAUUGAUACUGUAGGGCUUGAGUAUAGUUGCCGUUGGCGGAAUAUGACAUGUAGUGGUGAAAUACAUAGAGAUGUCAUAGAACACCGAUUGCGAAGGCAGCUGACGAAACUAUAACUGACACUGAGGCUCGAAAGUGCGGGAUCAAACAGG
rnacentral:rRNA from 1 species